UCCCUUCUGCAAGGUUCGCCAGGCGGAUUCAUCAAGAAUCCCGAACAAGCGUGAACAUAGGGGGGCCGUCCCCGACGUGGUGUGCCAGGCCCGGAUCACCUUCACCGGGAGGCCAGAAGCGACGGUUUGGUCCCCCACCUAGCUAUUGCUAGGGGUUCAUCGAUUCCGCCAUCGGCCAUUGCGGUUGGGGC
rnacentral:other from 1 species